CCUACGGGAGGCAGCAGUGGGGAAUAUUGCACAAUGGGCGCAAGCCUGAUGCAGCCAUGCCGCGUGUAUGAAGAAGGCCUUCGGGUUGUAAAGUACUUUCAGCGGGGAGGAAGGGAGUAAAGUUAAUACCUUUGCUCAUUGACGUUACCCGCAGAAGAAGCACCGGCUAACUCCGUGCCAGCAGCCGCGGUAAU
rnacentral:rRNA from 5 species